rnacentral:rRNA from 1 species
GAUGAACGCUGGCGGCGUGCCUAAUACAUGCAAGUCGAGGGAACAGACGAGGAGCUUGCUCCUCUGACGUUAGCGGCGGACGGGUGAGUAACACGUGGAUAACCUACCUAUAAGACUGGGAUAACUUCGGGAAACCGUAGCUAAUACCGGAUAAUAUUUUGAACCGCAUGGUUCAAUAGUGAAAGACGGUCUUGCUGUCACUUAUAGAUGGAUCCGCGCCGCAUUAGCUAGUUGGUAAGGUAACGGCUUACCAAGGCAACGAUGCAUAGCCGACCUGAGAGGGUGAUCGGCCACACUGGAACUGAGACACGGUCCAGACUCCUACGGGAGGCAGCAGUAGGGAAUCUUCCGCAAUGGGCGAAAGCCUGACGGAGCAACGCCGCGUGAGUGAUGAAGGUCUUCGGAUCGUAAAACUCUGUUAUUAGGGAAGAACAAAUGUGUAAGUAACUAUGCACGUCUUGACGGUACCUAAUCAGAAAGCCACGGCUAACUACGUG